rnacentral:rRNA from 1 species
GUACAUGUACGGAAUCCUUUAGAGAUAGAGGAGUGCUCGAAAGAGAACCGUAACACAGGUGCUGCAUGGCUGUCGUCAGCUCGUGUCGUGAGAUGUUGGGUUAAGUCCCGCAACGAGCGCAACCCUUGUCAUUAGUUGCUACGAAAGGGCACUCUAAUGAGACUGCCGGUGACAAACCGGAGGAAGGUGGGGAUGACGUCAAGUCCUCAUGGUCCUUAUAGGUGGGGCUACACACGUCAUACAAUGGCUGGUACAAAGGGUUGCCAACCCGCGAGGGGGAGCCAAUCCCAUAAAGCCAGUCGUAGUCCGGAUCGCAGUCUGCAACUCGACUGCGUGAAGUCGGAAUCGCUAGUAAUCGUGGAUCAGCAUGUCACGGUGAAUACGUUCCCGGGUCUU